UACAGAGGUCUCAAGCGUUGUUCGGAUUCAUUGGGCGUAAAGGGUGCGUAGGUGGCGCGAUAAGUCGGGUGUGAAAUCUCGGAGCUUAACUCCGAAAUUGCAUUCGAUACUGCCGUGCUUGAGGACUGGAGAGGAGACUGGAAUUCAUGGUGUAGCAGUGAAAUGCGUAGAGAUCAUGAGGAAGACCAGUGGCGAAGGCGGGUCUCUGGACAGUUCCUGACACUGAGGCACGAAGGCCAGGGGAGCAAACGGG
rnacentral:rRNA from 1 species